GAUCAUGGCUCAGGAUGAACGCUAGCUACAGGCUUAACACAUGCAAGUCGAGGGGAAACGAUAUUGGAAGCUUGCUUCCGAUAGGCGUCGGCCGGCGCACGGGUGAGUAACGCGUAUCCAACCUGCCCACCACUUGGGGAUAACCUUGCGAAAGUAAGACUAAUACCCAAUGACAUCCCACGAAGACAUCUGAAUGGGAUUAAAGAUUUAUCGGUGAUGGAUGGGGAUGCGUUUGAUUAG
rnacentral:rRNA from 1 species